rnacentral:rRNA from 1 species
GAUGAACGCUGGCGGCGUGCCUAAUACAUGCAAGUCGAGCGAACGGACGAGAAGCUUGCUUCUCUGAUGUUAGCGGCGGACGGGUGAGUAACACGUGGAUAACCUACCUAUAAGACUGGGAUAACUUCGGGAAACCGGAGCUAAUACCGGAUAAUAUUUUGAACCGCAUGGCUCAAAAGUGAAAGACGGUCUUGCUGUCACUUAUAGAUGGAUCCGCGCUGCAUUAGCUAGUUGGUAAGGUAACGGCUUACCAAGGCAACGAUGCAUAGCCGACCUGAGAGGGUGAUCGGCCACACUGGAACUGAGACACGGUCCAGACUCCUACGGGAGGCAGUAGUAGGGAAUCUUCCGCAAUGGGCGAAAGCCUGACGGAGCAACGCCGCGUGAGUGAUGAAGGUCUUCGGAUCGUAAAACUCUGUUAUUAGGGAAGAACAUAUGUGUAAGUAACUGUGCACAUCUUGACGGUACCUAAUCAGAAAGCCACGGCUAACUACGUGCCAGCAGCCGCGGUAAUACGUAGGUGGCAAGCGUUAUCCGGAAUUAUUGGGCGUAAAGCGCGCGUAGGCGGUUUUUUAAGUCUGAUGUGAAAGCCCACGGCUCAACCGUGGAGGGUCAUUGGAAACUGGAAAACUUGAGUGCAGAAGAGGAAAGUGGAAUUCCAUGUGUAGCGGUGAAAUGCGCAGAGAUAUGGAGGAACACCGGUGGCGAAGGCGACUUUCUGGUCUGUAACUGACGCUGAUGUGCGAAAGCGUGGGGAUCAAACAGGAUUAGAUACCCUGGUAGUCCACGCCGUAAACGAUGAGUGCUAAGUGUUAGGGGGUUUCCGCCCCUUAGUGCUGCAGCUAACGCAUUAAGCACUCCGCCUGGGGAGUACGACCGCAAGGUUGAAACUCAAAGGAAUUGACGGGGACCCGCACAAGCGGUGGAGCAUGUGGUUUAAUUCGAAGCAACGCGAAGAACCUUACCAAAUCUUGACAUCCUUUGACAACUCUAGAGAUAGAGCCUUCCCCUUCGGGGGACAAAGUGACAGGUGGUGCAUGGUUGUCGUCAGCUCGUGUCGUGAGAUGUUGGGUUAAGUCCCGCAACGAGCGCAACCCUUAAGCUUAGCUGCCAUCAUUAAGUUGGGCACUCUAAGUUGACUGCCGGUGACAAACCGGAGGAAGGUGGGGAUGACGUCAAAUCAUCAUGCCCCUUAUGAUUUGGGCUACACACGUGCUACAAUGGACAAUACAAAGGGCAGCGAAACCGCGAGGUCAAGCAAAUCCCAUAAAGUUGUUCUCAGUUCGGAUUGUAGUCUGCAACUCGACUACAUGAAGCUGGAAUCGCUAGUAAUCGUAGAUCAGCAUGCUACGGUGAAUACGUUCCCGGGUCU